rnacentral:lncRNA from 1 species
AAUUCUCAAAGCCAGCUCCCUCACACCAGGAGGCCAGAGCCUGAGCUUGAUUGUUGCUAAUUUGCAACUGAAUGGAGUACUUGGACUUCUUCAAAGCAGCUUUUAUACUGUUGCUUUUCACUGUCCCACCUUUGUUUCUCAAGCAGGUCAGCCACAUUCAGCCUGACUGCAGCAGGAGUAAAACCUUGCCUCCAACAGCGCAGGUGGCAGUUAUUAAUCUCCAUCAAGAAGCAUUCUAAGUACAUAUUGUGGCUUUGGUCUUAAUUGGGAGUAUGGUGUGCUAUGAGGGCCUGACAGUCAAUGACGGGCACCCAGAUCUCGGAAUCAUACCAAUCUAAGACAGGGGUACAUGCCAAGAGGCCGUGGCUGUUAAUAAUACACCACAGAGCCAUGUUUUGUGUAAAAUAAACACAAGCUGCAUGUACACUCCUAUGACGGAUAAGGAUGAUUCGAGAAGAUCUAAGAUUUCCUAAGACAGGCAGAGCCGCCAGCCACCAUAACUCCCAGGCAGGACUAUAGAGCAUAAAUAAAUUUUAUGCCUCAGUCCAGUUUUGUUUAAUAUUAUUUAAAGGGGGGGGAUGUAACCUCCUUCAUCCUAGACAGGCUGGUUUAGACCAUCAACCACUGAGGCGGAGCCACCCGCUGUGCUGCUUUUCAUCCCUUCCUUUGAUGUGCCCCUGCCUGCUACCUGCCUGAGGCCAAACCAAGAUUUUCUCCAAGAUUUUUCUCCAAGAUUUUCCGGAGUUAACACCAAACUGUGAAUUUCGUGAGUUCCUGCUAAAAGGCAAUUCUGACAACUUCACAAGAAACUUGGCAUGACUGGGAAUGGGCCUCCCCUCUCCUUUAUAAAGUGUGUCUGCCGCCAUUAAAGUUGAGCCUUGAUCAGAA